GGCCUCCCCAAGCUCAUGUCCCUUGACACCACGCAAGCCAGGGCUGGCAGAAGGAUUGCAGGUGCACUGCUGGACAACUGCACCCGGUCCCACUCUGUCACUGACCAGCAGCGUGACGUGGGCAGUGUCUUCAUCUCUCGUGCCUCAGUUUCCUCCUCUGUUAGAUGGGGGUAGUGCUGCUACCUCCCUCCCUCCUGGAAGGGCGCUGACAAGGGAGCUGAGGUUCAGGAAUCUCUCAUGGUGACCCAGAGAGGAGCUGGCGUCCAACAGCACGUGUGUCCACUUUUUGUGACACUUACCUGUGCCACUGCAGGUCAGGGGCUUGGCCCCGUGCACAGUAAGUGCUUACAGUUAGCAUCAUUAUUCAGGGUGGACUAUGAGUGCU
ensembl:lncRNA novel transcript